rnacentral:rRNA from 1 species
UACGUAGGGUGGCAAGCGUUGUCCGGAAUUUAUUGGGCGUAAAGAGCUCGUAGGCGGUUUGUCGCGUCUGCUGUGAAAACGCGAGGCUCAACCUCGCGCCUGCAGUGGGUACGGGCAGACGUAGAGUGCGGUAGGGGAGAUUGGAAUUCCGUGGGUGUAGCGGUGGAAUGCGCAGAGUAUCAGGAGGAACACCGAUGGCGAAGGCAAAUCUCUGGGCCGUAACUGACGCUGAGGAGCGAAAGCGUGGGGAGCGAACAGG